AUUGAACGCUGGCGGCAUGCCUUACACAUGCAAGUCGAGCGGGCAGCGCGGGGGCAACCCUGGCGGCGAGCGGCGAACGGGUGAGUAAUACAUCGGAACGUGUCCAGUAGCGGGGGAUAACCUGUCGAAAGAUAGGCUAAUACCGCAUACGAUCCACGGAUGAAAGCGGGGGACCCAAGGGCAACCGAGGGCCUCGCACUAUUGGAGCGGCCGAUGUCGGAUUAGCAGUUGGCGGGGUAAAAGCCCACCAAGGCGACGAUCCGUAGCUGGUCUGAGGAGGACGA
rnacentral:rRNA from 1 species